UUUGCUGAGGAGUGUCUAACUUCCAAUUGUGUGAUCAAUUUUACAAUUUCUAGCUGAAUGACAAUGUUCCAUUAAAAAAGAAGGAAGCUUGUCUACUCAGAACACAAAGAGAGCCCUGGCAAUGGGUGUUACCAAACUCAAAUGCAAUCUAGACAAUCUACCUUGUCAUAUAUGAAUUCCUAUAAUAUUUUUCAAAAGUAGGGUGAUAUUAUCAUGACAAUAAAGUAUAAAUUCAUUUAAAAGAAUUACUGAUACCACAGUAUCUUUGUGUUUAUUAUGCAAUUUUUAAAUCAAAAUGCUAAAAGUGCAACUGUUUUCUGGAGAAUCCAUGAAAUGUUCUGACAUGAGAAGGAAGGUUAUAAAAUAAUGAAAUUAAAG
rnacentral:lncRNA from 10 species